CCUAUACAUGCAAGUCGAGCGGACAGAUGGGAGCUUGCUCCCUGAUGUUAGCGGCGGACGGGUGAGUAACACGUGGGUAACCUGCCUGUAAGACUGGGAUAACUCCGGGAAACCGGGGCUAAUACCGGAUGCUUGUUUGAACCGCAUGGUUCAGACAUAAAAGGUGGCUUCGGCUACCACUUACAGAUGGACCCGCGGCGCAUUAGCUAGUUGGUGAGGUAACGGCUCACCAAGGCGACGAUGCGUAGCCGACCUGAGAGGGUGAUCGGCCACACUGGGACUGAGACACGGCCCAGACUCCUACGGGAGGCAGCAGUAGGGAAUCUUCCGCAAUGGACGAAAGUCUGACGGAGCAACGCCGCGUGAGUGAUGAAGGUUUUCGGAUCGUAAAGCUCUGUUGUUAGGGAAGAACAAGUGCCGUUCAAAUAGGGCGGCACCUUGACGGUACCUAACCAGAAAGCCACGGCUAACUACGUGCCAGCAGCCGCGGUAAUACGUAGGUGGCAAGCGUUGUCCGGAAUUAUUGGGCGUAAAGGGCUCGCAGGCGGUUUCUUAAGUCUGAUGUGAAAGCCCCCGGCUCAACCGGGGAGGGUCAUUGGAAACUGGGGAACUUGAGUGCAGAAGAGGAGAGUGGAAUUCCACGUGUAGCGGUGAAAUGCGUAGAGAUGUGGAGGAACACCAGUGGCGAAGGCGACUCUCUGGUCUGUAACUGACGCUGAGGAGCGAAAGCGUGGGGAGCGAACAGGAUUAGAUACCCUGGUAGUCCACGCCGUAAACGAUGAGUGCUAAGUGUUAGGGGGUUUCCGCCCCUUAGUGCUGCAGCUAACGCAUUAAGCACUCCGCCUGGGGAGUACGGUCGCAAGACUGAAACUCAAAGGAAUUGACGGGGGCCCGCACAAGCGGUGGAGCAUGUGGUUUAAUUCGAAGAACGCGAAGAACCUUACCAGGUCUUGACUCCUCUGACAUCCUAAAGUAGGACGUCCC
rnacentral:rRNA from 1 species